rnacentral:rRNA from 1 species
AAACCAACAGGGAUUGCCCUAGUAACGGCGAGCGAAGCGGCAACAGCUCAAAUUUGAAAUCUGGCUACUUUGUAGUCCGAGUUGUAAUUUGUAGAGGAUGCUUUUGGUGAGGUGCCUUCCGAGUUCCCUGGAACGGGACGCCAGAGAGGGUGAGAGCCCCGUACGGUUGGAUACCAAACCUUUGUAUAGCUCCUUCGACGAGUCGAGUAGUUUGGGAAUGCUGCUCUAAAUGGGAGGUAUAUCUCUUCUAAAGCUAAAUAUAGGCUAGAGACCGAUAGCGCACAAGUAGAGUGAUCGAAAGAUGAAAAGCACUUUGAAAAGAGAGUUAAACAGCACGUGAAAUUGUUGAAAGGGAAGCGCCUAUGACCAGACUUGUUUCUUUCAGUUUUGUUAGUUCUCGGACUGAUUUACUCUGUUAGUACAGGCCAGCAUCAGUUUGUUGUCGGGGAGAAAGGCUUAGGGAAUGUGGCUCUUUCGGGAGUGUUAUAGCCCUUUGCAUAAUACCCUUCGGCAGACUGAGGACCGCGCUUCGGCAAGGAUGCUGGCGUAAUGGUCAUCAGCGAC